rnacentral:rRNA from 1 species
AGCGAACGCUGGCAGCGUGCCUAACACAUGCAAGUCGAACGUGAAAGGGAGCAAUCCCAAGUAAAGUGGCGUACGGGUGAGUAACACGUAGGUAAUCUACCCCAGAAUCUGGAAUAACCGGCCGAAAGGCUGGCUAAUACUGGAUAGAGCGACGGAAUCCGUAAUUGGGUUUUUCGGGAAAGGGAGCCUGUAAAAAGGCCUUCGUUCUGGGAUGAGCCUGCGUCCCAUCAGCUAGUUGGUGAGGUAAAAGCUUACCAAGGCAAUGACGGGUAGCUGGUCUGAGAGGACGAUCAGCCACACUGGAACUGAAACACGGUCCAGACUCCUACGGGAGGCAGCAGUGGGGAAUCUUGCGCAAUGGACGAAAGUCUGACGCAGCAACGCCGCGGGAGUGAAGAAGGCCGUCGGGUUGUAAAGCUCUGUCGAGUGGGACGAAAAUGCUUGGAGUUCACAGCUCCAGGAACUGACGGUACCACUAAAGGAAGCACCGGCUAACUCCGUG